UUCCGUUGUUGAUGUAGACGCCUUAUAUGUGUUGACAUAUGGCGGGUCUGGGCACGCUACCGGGAGGGCCUCUGCCGGUCCCGGGGCGUGACAGAUUAAUUUGGUAUCAGAGCCUAGGGUUGAGUCUUAGUGGACCUAGCUAACCUUAGGCCGGUUGGACUAUAGAAAUUAGGCUCGUGAGAGACGAGGUCCAAUUGACUUGUGAGCGAAAGUAUUUCGAUUGGGUUUGAUGAUAACUCUAAAAAGUUAGAGUUUGAUCGGAGUGUAUGGCUUCUAACUUCGCGGAGGGUUACGUUGGCGGCCGACAACGUAAUAUCGGGAGUUAGUAGUGAAGGACACUUUCUUACUUGCCCAUGAUUUGGGUUUUAUCUAUUUGAGCGGGGAUGCGGUAGCGUGGGUUACUAACUUGCGCUUUUAUGUUUUGUAGUGACGAUGCCGAUUA
rnacentral:lncRNA from 1 species